CAUCCGAUGAAAUUAAUAGGCAGCAAGUUUAAAACAAACAAAAGGAAGUAUUUCAUACAAUGCACAGUCAACCUGUGGAAUUCGUUGUCAAGGGGUGUUAUGAAGACCAGAGCUAUAAUUGGAUUAAAACGAGACUUAAAUAAAUUCAUGAAGGGUAGGUCCAUGAAUUUCAAGGAUGCCUCCCCAUGCUCUAGGGUUUCCCUAGCCUCUGACUACCAGUUGCUGGGACUGGACUAUGGGAUGGAUCACUUGAUGAUUGCCCUGUUCUAUUCAUUCCCUUUCAAGCAUCUGGCAUUGGCCAGUGUCCAAAGACAAGAUUCUGGGCUAGAUGGACCUUUGGUCUGAUCCAGUAUGGAAAUGGAGUGGAAAUGGUUCCAUUAACUUUGAGCAUGAGGAAAAUAGGAAUGAAAAACGCAACAUACCCUUUUGUUUUGUUUUGUUUUGUUUUGUUUUUAAAAAGCCGUAACACCUUCUUGCAACCAUCUUCAUCCUUUUGGAGAAGUUCUGUUCUGUAAAUUCAUGACUGAAUUAAUUACCUCAGCUUGCAUAGCUCCCGAAUUAAGCAAUGCUUGAUGGUACUGCUUUUGACAUAUCUGUGUGGAUUUGGUUAUUAAUAGUUUAAGGUUUGAUUUGUUAUGUUGUUUUAAAGUAUUUUAAUACAGAUCGCAAUUUAGAAAAGACAUUAUAGUUGCUUUUUUCCC